rnacentral:rRNA from 1 species
UACGUAGGGGGCAAGCGUUGUCCGGAUUUAUUGGGCGUAAAGAGCGUGUAGGCGGCUUUACAGGUCCGUUGUGAAAACUCGAGGCUCAACCUCGAGACGCCGGUGGAAACCGUAAAGCUAGAGUCCGGAAGAGGAGAGUGGAAUUCCUGGUGUAGCGGUGAAAUGCGCAGAUAUCAGGAGGAACACCCGUGGCGAAAGCGGCUCUCUGGGCCGAUAUUGACGCUGAGGAGCGAAAGCGUGGGGAGCAAACAGG